ensembl:snRNA U7 U7 small nuclear RNA
AGGUGUUACAGCUCUUUUAGAAUUUGUCUAGCUUGUUCCAAGUCUUCACUGGAAGCACAC